GGCCAUAUCACGUUGAAACACCCGUUCCCGUAUGAUCACCGAAGUUAAGCAACAUAGACCCUGGCCAAUACCUAGUUGGGUGACUGCUUCUGAAUACUAGAUG